rnacentral:rRNA from 1 species
GAUGAACGCUGGCGGCGUGCCUAAUACAUGCAAGUCGAGCGAACGGACGAGAAGCUUGCUUCUCUGAUGUUAGCGGCGGAGGGGUGAGUAACACGUGGAUAACCUACCUAUAAGACUGGGAUAACUUCGGGAAACCGUAGCUAAUACCGGAUAAUAUUUUGAACCGCAUGGUUCAAAAGUGAAAGACGGUCUUGCUGUCAGUUAUAGAUGGAUCCGCGCUGCAUUAGCUAGUUGGUAAGGUAACGGCUUACCAAGGCAACACUUACUAGCCGACCUGAGAGGGUGAUCGCCCACACUGGAACUGAGACAGCGUCCAGACUCCUACGGGAUGCACCAGUGUCGCAUCUUCCUCAAUGGUCAAAAGCCUUACGAACCAACGCCACGUGAGUGAUGAAGGUCUUCUGAUCGUAAAACUCUGUUAUUAGGGAAAAACCUAUUUGUAAGUAACUGUUCACAUCUUAACGGUACCUAAUCAGAAAGCCACGGCUAACUACGUG